rnacentral:rRNA from 1 species
CAGGCCUAACACAUGCAAGUCGAGCGGUAGAGAGGUGCUUGCACCUCUUGAGAGCGGCGGACGGGUGAGUAAUACCUAGGAAUCUGCCUGGUAGUGGGGGAUAACGUUCGGAAACGGACGCUAAUACCGCAUACGUCCUACGGGAGAAAGCAGGGGACCUUCGGGCCUUGCGCUAUCAGAUGAGCCUAGGUCGGAUUAGCUAGUUGGUGAGGUAAUGGCUCACCAAGGCGACGAUCCGUAACUGGUCUGAGAGGAUGAUCAGUCACACUGGAACUGAGACACGGUCCAGACUCCUACGGGAGGCAGCAGUGGGGAAUAUUGGACAAUGGGCGAAAGCCUGAUCCAGCCAUGCCGCGUGUGUGAAGAAGGUCUUCGGAUUGUAAAGCACUUUAAGUUGGGAGGAAGGGCAGUUACCUAAUAC